rnacentral:rRNA from 1 species
CAUAGCGACUAUCGUGGCAUAUCAAUAAGCGGAGGAAAAGAAACUAACAAGGAUUCCCCUAGUAACGGCGAGUGAAGCGGGAAGAGCUCAAAUUUGAAAUCUUCAAGGUUCGACCUUGACGAAUUGUAGUUUAAAGAAGUGUUUUCGGUUAGAGGAGUAGUAAAAGUUCUUUGGAAUAGGACAUCAUAGAGGGUGAGAAUCCCGUAUUUUGACUAUUCUUUCUAGCGUUGUGAUACACUUUCAACGAGUCGGAUUGUUUGGGAAUGCAGUCCAAAAUGGGUGGUAAAUUUCAUCUAAAGCUAAAUAUUGGCGAGAGACCGAUAGCGAACAAGUACCGUGAGGGAAAGAUGAAAAGAACUUUGAAAAGAGAGUUAAACAGUACGUGAAAUUGUCAAAAGGGAAGCGUUUGACACCAGUGUUGUUUUUCCGAAAAUCAAUUAAGAAUGAUGGAUUUUGUGUUGAGUAUUGACUUUAUCAGGCUUUCUGCACUUUUUCUUACGAACUUUCUUAAUGCACUUUUCGGUUAACAAGUCAACAUCAAUUUCUUUUGUUGUAAAAGAGUCAUUGAGGAAGGUGGCUUUUCUUUCGGAGAAAGUGUUUAUAGCCUUGUGCUUCUGCAAUCGGAGAGAUUGAGGUCUGCAGCGUAGAUCCUUCGGGGUUAGAUACAGUUUGUGCUAAGCUAUAGUUCUUUAUAGACAACUUGUUGACUAUAUCUAGUCCUGUAGCUUACUCGCUGAUGCUAUUUUACCUACGCUUAGGAUGUUGAUAUGCAUGACUGAUAU